GUGAAAUUGCCGGUAAUCGCUAAGUAAAAACCACUGAAGAACAGGACAGAAGCCAAUGACCACCUCACCUCCACCGAGUGCCCUGCAGGAGCUGGGAGAUGGGAACAUCACUAGACCACGAGCCGGAAUUGCUGCAGGAGGAUUCCCACACUCUGGGCCUCCGUGGGCACCACGAGGACUGGACGUGCGACCCCAGCUCUCUGGGUCUCAGUUUCGUCUCCUGCAGAGCAUCUGAGCUAGACCGUCUCUAAAAUUUCAUCAAGCUCCUGUAUUCCAUUCUAUUCUGAGAUGCCCAAUUCUUAUGCCUGCUAAAAACCACAGUGAG
rnacentral:lncRNA from 10 species